GCACAGCUACAGGAGUGGGCUAUUUGCCAAAGACAUUGAACCAAGCCUCGGAGAAGUAGAAACAGCUCAACCAGGUUCAUUCAGCAGAGAAUCAUGGUUAAAAUAUAUUAAACCUGGAUUCCUCAAAUUCUGUUGUCCAGGAAAUGGGAGCUACUGAAACCACAGGAUCUGCUCGCGGCUUCCAAACACUCUCUGCGGACAGUAUGACCACGUCCAUGUCCUCCUCUGGCUCCAGUGGGGCCCUUUUCAUGGACCCCAGGCCCUUCCCUGUUUCUCCCAGAGGGGGAAGUCCAAGGCAGGGUCUGCAUCUCCCUUGUCUGUGCAAGCCCCACAACAGCUCUGCUGGACAGUGUCUAAACUAAAACUUCUUGGUUGUUUAGUCUGGUUAUACGUGUUACAAAUUCCCCAUUUCCUGUGGGGUUCAUAGAGAGCUACAAAAUUAUAAUAAAACUUCAAUAGAAA